AUUGAACGCUGGCGGCAGGCCUAACACAUGCAAGUCGAACGAGUGGCGGACGGGUGAGUAAUGUCUGGGAAACUGCCUGGUGGAGGGGGAUAACUACUGGAAACGGUAGCUCAUACCGCAUACCAUCGGAUGUGCCCAGAGUGGAUUAGCUAGUAGGUGGGGUAACGGCUCACCGAGGCGACGAUCCCUAGCUGGUCGGAGAGGAUGACCAGCCACACUGGAACUGAGACACGGUCCAGACUCCUACGGGAGGCAGCAGUGGGGAAUAUUGCACAAUGGGCGCAAGCCUGAUGCAGCCAUGCCGCGUGUAUGAAGAAGGCCUUCGGGUUGUAAAGUACUUUCAGCGAGGAGGCGUUACCCGCAGAAGAAGCACCGGCUAACUCCGUGCCAGCAGCCGCGGUAAUUC
rnacentral:rRNA from 1 species